AACGAACGCUGGCGGCGCGUUUUAAGCAUGCAAGUCGAACGGUAGUAUGGCUUCGGUCAUAUGAGAGUGGCGAACGGGUGAGUAACACGUAGAUGAUCUGCCCUUGAGUUGGGGAUAGCCCAUGGAAACAUGGAGUAAUACCGAAUACGGUCACGGGACUAUGGUUCUGUGAAGAAAAGCGCUUCGGCGCUGCUCGAGGAUGAGUCUGCGGCUGAUUAGCUAGUUGGUGGGGUAAGAGCCCACCAAGGCGACGAUCAGUAGCCGGCCUGAGAGGGUGAACGGCCACACUGGGACUGAGAUACGGCCCAGACUCCUACGGGAGGCAGCAGCUAAGAAUCUUCCGCAAUGGACGAAAGUCUGACGGAGCGACGCCGCGUGGGUGAUGAAGGCCGGAAGGUUGUAAAGCCCUUUUCUGACUGAGGAAUAAGC
rnacentral:rRNA from 1 species